GUAACGCGUGAGGAACCUGCCUUGGAGAGGGGGACAACAGCCGGAAACGGCUGCUAAUACCGCAUAAUGCACGAUGGGGACAUCCCUGACGUGCCAAAGAUUUAUCGCUCUGAGAUGGCCUCGCGUCUGAUUAGGGUAGUUUGGCGGGGGUAACGGGCCCCACCCAAGCCGACGAUCAGUAGCCGGACUGAGAGGUUGAACGGCCACAUUGGGACUGAGAUACGGCCCCAGACUCCUACGGGAGGCAGCAGUGGGGAAUAUUGGGCAAUGGGCGCAAGCCUGACCCAGCAACGCCGCGUGAAGGAAGAAGGCUUUCGGGUUGUAAACUUCUUUUGAGGGGGAAGAGCAGAAGACGGUACCCCUUGAAUAAGCCACGGCUAACUACGUGCC
rnacentral:rRNA from 1 species